AAUCUGAGCCUACCUUCAUACGAACUGGAGCCAGAGCGAUGGUAUAGAGAAAAUUGCAGUGGCCACAUGGCUUCAUAGCUUGCAUUGCAUCCUCAUCGUGUGAAGCAAAUACAUGUUGAUAGCUUUAUUGACAUGGAUAGCUACGCGGCUACGCCUCACUGAUAAGCAUCUGGAACAUAAACAGCUUCAGAAACUCGCGCCAUCGGUCCUUGCUGAGGAGACAAUGACGGAGAGAGCUGCAAUGGCUCUCCAUGACGGCGACGAUGGCCACAACGACAAGAGGGCGUCAAUAACUGGAGCACUGUAGCUCGGACCAUCACCAUAAUGGUUGAAGUUUGACACACUGAAGCAAACUAGGUUUCUGCGACAAGAACCAGUAAAUGACCGGAGAUUCAAAAUGAUCAAGGAAGGAAAUAAUUAUUCCUACAUCGAUGUCAUAGCAACACAAUCAGAUAAGACAGAUCCUUAGUUUUCAGAAAUUAGUAGUUGUCAAAGCUAACGUUUUCUCAAUUUGGAAGUUUUAUCCUUUCAUGUUAUCUUGUUAACCUUUUGUGGCGCAAAAGAUAUA